GACGAACGCUGGCGGCAAGCUUAACACAUGCAAGUCGAGCGCGUAGCAAUACGAGCGGCAGACGGGUGAGUAACGCGUGGGAACGUGCCUUUCGGCUCGGAACAAACUGAGGGAAACUUCAGCUAAAACCGGAUACGCCCUUGUCCUUAACAAGAUUUGGGGAAAGUUUACACCGAAAGAUCGGCCCGCGUCAGAUUAGGUAGUUGGUGGGGUAAUGGCCUACCAAGCCGACGAUCUGUAGCUGUUCGAGAGGAAGAUCAGCCACAUUGGGACUGAGACACGGCCCAAACUCCUACGGGAGGCAGCAGUGGGGAAUAUUGGACAAUGGGCGCAAGCCUGAUCCAGCUAUGCCGCGUGGAUGAAGAA
rnacentral:rRNA from 1 species